rnacentral:rRNA from 1 species
GCGGCCUAUCAGCUUGUUGGUGGGGUGAUGGCCUACCAAGGCGACGACGGGUAGCCGGCCUGAGAGGGUGUCCGGCCACACUGGGACUGAGAUACGGCCCAGACUCCUACGGGAGGCAGCAGUGGGGAAUAUUGCACAAUGGGCGCAAGCCUGAUGCAGCGACGCCGCGUGAGGGACGACGGCCUUCGGGUUGUAAACCUCUUUCAGCACAGACGAAGCGCAAGUGACGGUAUGUGCAGAAGAAGCACCGGCCAACUACGUGCCAGCAGCCGCGGUAAUACGUAGGGUGCGAGCGUUGUCCGGAAUUACUGGGCGUAAAGAGCUCGUAGGUGGUUUGUCGCGUUGUUCGUGAAAACUCACAGCUCAACUGUGGGCGUGCGGGCGAUACGGGCAGACUGGAGUACUGCAGGGGAGACUGGAAUUCCUGGUGUAGCGGUGGAAUGCGCAGAUAUCAGGAGGAACACCGGUGGCGAAGGCGGGUCUCUGGGCAGUAACUGACGCUGAGGAGCGAAAGCGUGGGGAGCGAACAGGAUUAGAUACCCUGGUAGUCCACGCCGUAAACGGUGGGUACUAGGUGUGGGUUUCCUUCCUUGGGAUCCGUGCCGUAGCUAACGCAUUAAGUACCCCGCCUGGGGAGUACGG